rnacentral:rRNA from 1 species
UACGUAGGGGGCAAGCGUUGUCCGGAAUUAUUGGGCGUAAAGAGCGUGUAGGUGGUCCGGUAAGUCAGCUGUGAAAGUCAAGGGCUCAACCCUUGAAUGCCGGUUGAUACUGUCGGGCUAGAGUCCGGAAGAGGCGAGUGGAAUUCCCGGUGUAGCGGUGAAAUGCGCAGAUAUCGGGAGGAACACCAGUGGCGAAGGCGGCUUUCUGGGUCCGCCCUGACGCUGAGGCGCGAAAGCUAGGGGAGCAAACGGG